rnacentral:rRNA from 1 species
AUAUACGACCGUACCGCAAACCGACACUGGUGCGCGAGAUGAGUAUUCUAAGGCGCUUGAGAGAACUCAGGAGAAGGAACUCGGCAAAUUGACACCGUAACUUCGGAAGAAGGUGUGCCCUAGUAUUGUGAAGUGAACAACGGAGCAAGAAAGGGUUGCAAAAAAUCGGUGGCUGCGACUGUUUAUUAAAAACACAGCACUCUGCAAACACGAAAGUGGACGUAUAGGGUGUGACGCCUGCCCGGUGCUGGAAGAUUAAAUGAUGGGGUGCAAGCUCUUGAUUGAAGUCCCAGUAAACGGCGGCCGUAACGAUAACGGUCCUAAGGUAGCGAAAUUCCUUGUCGGGUAAGUUCCGACCUGCACGAAUGGCGUAACGAUGGCCACACUGUCUCCUCCUGAGACUCAGCGAAGUUGAAAUGUUUGUGAUGAUGCAAUCUCCCCGCGGAAAGACGGAAAGACCCCAUGAACCUUUACUGUAGCUUUGUAUUGGACUUUGAACAGAUCUGUGUAGGAUAGGUGGGAGGCUUUGAAGCAGGGUCGCUAGAUCUUGUGGAGCCAACGUUGAAAUACCACCCUGGUGUGUUUGAGGUUCUAACCUAGGUCCAUUAUCUGGAUCGGGGACAGUGCAUGGUAGGCAGUUUGACUGGGGCGGUCUCCUCCCAAAGCGUAACGGAGGAGUUCGAAGGUACGCUAGUUACGGUCGGACAUCGUGACGAUAGUGCAAUGGCAUAAGCGUGCUUAACUGCGAGACUGACAAGUCGAGCAGAUGCGAAAGCAGGACAUAGUGAUCCGGUGGUUCUGUAUGGAAGGGCCAUCGCUCAACGGAUAAAAGGUACUCUGGGGAUAACAGGCUGAUACCGCCCAAGAGUUCAUAUCGACGGCGGUGUUUGGCACCUCGAUGUCGGCUCAUCUCAUCCUGGGGCUGUAGCCGGUCCCAAGGGUAUGGCUGUUCGCCAUUUAAAGAGGUACGUGAGCUGGGUUUAAAACGUCGUGAGACAGUUUGGUCCCUAUCUUCCGUGGGCGCUGCAGAUUUGAGGAAGCCUGCUCCUAGUACGAGAGGACCGGAGUGGACACACCUCUGGUGUAUCGGUUGUCACGCCAGUGGCAUUGCCGAGUAGCUAAGUGUGGAAGAGAUAACCGCUGAAAGCAUCUAAGCGGGAAACUCGUUUCAAGAUGAGAUCUGCCGGGGCCUUGAGCCCCCUAAAGAGUCGUUCAAGACCAGGACGUUGAUAGGUCAGGUGUGGAAGUG